rnacentral:rRNA from 1 species
CCCUUAGAUGUUCUGGGCUGCACGCGCGCUACACUGACGCACGCAACAGGUGUCUGCUCCGAGAGGACUGGGUAAUCAUUUGAGUGUGCGUCGUGAUGGGGAUAGAAUAUUGUAAUUAUUACUCUUCAACGAGGAAUUCCUAGUAAGCGCCAGUCAGCAGCUUGCGCUGAUUACGUCCCUGCCCUUUGUACACACCGCCCGUCGCUCCUACCGAUGGGUGAUCCGGUGAAUGAUUCGGACUUCAGCGGCUCCCCUGGGGUGCGCCGGAGAAAGUUUUGUGAACCUUAUCACUUGGAGGAAGGAGAAGUCGUAACA